GAAGGUGCAGAGAAAAAUAUUCUUUGCUUAAAAGGGAAAUAGGUUAAAUGCCUAUACGGUCCCGCCGCUGUAAUGGGGAAGGAUUUAAAACUAAUGUCACUGAAUAAAUCGGGAAGACUUUAAGUCCUUAUGAACCAAAGUCAGAAGACCUGCCUUUACUUAU
rnacentral:ncRNA from 1 species